rnacentral:rRNA from 1 species
AUUGAACGCUGGCGGCAGGCCUAACACAUGCAAGUCGAGCGGAUGCAGGGAGCUUGCUCCUGGAUUCAGCGGCGGACGGGUGAGUAAUGCCUAGGAAUCUGCCUGGCAGCGGGGGAUAACGUCCUGAAACGGGCGCUAAUACCGCAUACGUCCUGAGGGAGAAAGUGGGGGAUCUUCGGACCUCACGCCAUCAGAUGAGCCUAGGUCGGAUUAGCUAGUUGGUGGGGUAAAGGCCUACCAAGGCGACGAUCCGUAACUGGUCUGAGAGGAUGAUCAGUCACACUGGAACUGAGACACGGUCCAGACUCCUACGGGAGGCAGCAGUGGGGAAUAUUGGACAAUGGGCGAAAGCCUGAUCCAGCCAUGCCGCGUGUGUGAAGAAGGUCUUCGGAUUGUAAAGCACUUUAGGUUGGAAGGAAGAGCAGUAAGUUAAUACCUUGCUGUUUUGACGGUACCAACAGAAUAAGCACCGGCUAACUUCGUG